GUCUACUUCGUAACAGGGAAAUAUACAGAGGCUUUCUGGAGACCAAACUUCCUCAUUUUAGAAACAGAAAUAAAUGUAACGUUAGGCAUAAUGUCUUGGAACAAACGUCUAUUAUGUUCUUACAGCGCCCGAGACCAAACGUUCUCUUUAUCUAUUAUUGUUUUCUCUAAAUAUUUAGUACCUGAAAUGAGUGUCGUGAAGUCUUCCGGUACAGACCGCAUUCUGAUAAAUCGCUUGACCCAGCAAGAUAGCCUUCGAAACGCGGAAGUUAAGUGGACUCGACUGAAAUACGGAAGAGACGACUGCCUAAACUAAAUAAACCACUAUUCAAAUUAGACACUGUUAUUUAUCACGUUAUCUCCAGCAGGCGCAUUUGGGUGCUCACUUCAAACAGUGCACUGGGGAAAGAGACGUUUCCUCGUCCAGUUUUAAGUACUUGGUUUGUCAUUAUACACAGAACUAUUUUGCAUUUAUUAUAUAAUCCAUUGGGUUUUGUGACGCAAAUGAUGUUACCUUGGAUGUUUGAUUAGCAUGCCAUGGGGCCAGAAAACAGAUGCUAAAUAUUAAGCAUGGCAUGCAAUUUUAUUUAAUCUGAAUCUAGAACAUGAAACUUAAUUGCUUUCUUUGCAAAGUGAGAGUCCACAUUUCAUGACUUCGCCCUUUUUAGAUGGGCCUGCUGUUUGGAGUGGGGCCCACUUAUCCUGAGGAGGGAGACAGGUGAAGAAUGGGGGUGAUGCACAGCUUUCACAAGGAAACACAUAGCUGUCCAUCUCCAUCUGGCUCUGUGCUUUCGCUCUGUGCUUUCGCUCUGUGCUUCUCCGCUGUUUCACAGAGAUUGUGGAGAACAGAUCCCUGCCAGGAGACCUGCCCUUUGUCACCUGCUCUGUACCUCUCAUAAAGGAUGAUAGUUGUGAUUAAACACUGACAUCCUGCAUGCUUGUUCACUUGGCUUGAGCACUGCUUGAACCUCAAUUGACCUGGCCACAGAUCCAUCUGGUGUGGAGGGGGAAAGAGAGGUGAAGUGCCCUUUGACCUUUUGAAGGAGAGUGGAGCCGCUUCAUACCUCAUGGUCCUCGGCCGAGCUUGUUUGAUCUGGACUCACCUCAGUUCACACGUCUCAGCUUCUGGCACCAACCCAGAAAGAGGAGGGAUGUGAUGUAGAGCUGGUCGGAAUUGACCAGUUUAUUGGAAGAGCCCGAACUCAAGUUUUGUGAAGACAUACAGUACCUCUGAAAGUGCACCUAAGAUGAAUGAGGUCACCAGCAAAUACUAUGACAAUGUGACAGGUAAGUCAUAUCAGAAUCAGACCACCUGAACAGCCUCUGAACAUUAAGAAAGACAUCUGAGGGCGCGCUCUUGCCACUGUAAUUCACACUGCCUGCAGGGUACAGAGGUAUCUGUGAAGUUCAACUUUGUGAUGGAUGAGAUGGUGUCUUUGCCUUGCGGCCUCAAAGGGAUUAGGCUGCUCAGGUGUUGUUUUUAAAAGACUUAGAAUUAGCUCACAUUUAAACAUUUAAACUGUCUUUUGACACCACUUUCACCACCUUUUUGGUAAAAAAGAAGAUUGCCCCCACCCUGCAUUGCAGUAAACCUUAAGAUUAUGUUUGGUUCAUGACAACAAAAUUAUUUUAAGUGAUAUUUAAAAUUGUACAUAUGCAACUUUGUAAAACUUUGGCAGAGAUUUAAUUCUUUGGUUAUUAAUUACUGUAAAUUUAUUCAUGAAGCUUUUCUUGACGCUUUGAGUUGCUCAGUUCCACUGGGAGCAGUAACCUCUGUUAGUCUUUUGAUUCAGCAGUCCACACUUUGGCCUCAUUGCAGCCUCAGGAGAAUAAACACUUAUGCUAGAUGUAAAGAGAUGUUUGAGAAGCAGACCACGUAAGUGCAACCCGAAGAAGAAUAAUUGCAUACUUCAGGAAUUCUAUAAACAUGAUCUAUGAGAUAAUAUCAUGCUUCAUAGGACUAAUUUGUUCAUUUGUAUUCUGUGGUGUUGCUGUGGUUGGCCUCUGUUUAAGAUCCCUUAAAGGGAUGUUUUUACUUAAAAUGUAACAGUCUGUCAUCAUUUAUCUACCAUUAUGCCAUUUUAUCAGUGUUUCUAAUGCAAAACGCCAUAAAGAGGUAUUAACUGUUUUUCUUCAUCCAGUAAAAAUCCAAAAACACCAUUGGAUAUUUUUGUUCCAA
rnacentral:lncRNA from 1 species